rnacentral:lncRNA from 1 species
UUUUUUUUUUUCCUUUUUGGUGUGUUGUAAUUUUCACUGAAUAACAAAGAUUGCUUGUAAAGACCAGCACAGAGUUAAAUAUGAUCACAACCUGAAAAUGGACACAACUGCUUUUUCUGCUUUAGUUGUUAGUAGUUGAGCUGGAUGUUGUUGCUAUAUUGAUGUUAACAUCCUUACAUUCAGCUCACCACAGUCUUUAAAUUCAGCCAAUGAAGAUUUGCUCCUACUUUGUGUUUAGUUUGAAGCCUGGAUUGCCUGAGGGUUUUUCCCCCAGGGUUCCCAUUUUACUCACAGUUAUCACAAGCCCUGCUUGCCUGCCUGAAUGAAGGAUGGUUUGUUUUGAUGUCUUGUUCCUCCCCAAGCAGCAGAUUGCUAUCGCUUGCUAUUUAGUGGAGGCGUGUGGUAAGGGUAGGUUGGUCAUCACUUGGUUAUCAGUAUCUAACUUCAGAAGUAGGAAGGCCUUGUUCCCCUGACUUUUGGGGGGAGGGCUCUCUUAGAGUUCCAGACUUACCCCUAUAACAUUCCAUUCUCCCUCCCUCAUCCCCCAUACCUCUGCUUUGUGUCAGUACAGAGCUUCAAGCAGCUUCUCUCUCCACUCUCUCAGCUGGGGAGAAUGUUUUCUGUAGUCCUCUUUCUGCUGCAGCAGACGUUAAGGUCUGUGAAACCUCAAUUAAGAGGAACAAACAUUUUGCUGCUUUCCUGGUGGAAGAACCCUGAGCAUCAGAGCGUGGGUGUUCUUGGUUUUCUGGGGCAGGAGUGCCUAUAUUCCUCUACUGUCUCUCUCUUCUUUUGCUGUGUGAUAAGAAUUUAUUAUAGCACAAGCACAGGAGGAAGCCCAGGGGACUCUGCCUUGAAGGUAUGUUUAUAAAGAGGCAGGAAAAUACUUUUAGAGCAUGGGAUCUUCUGAAGCCUUCACAGCCAUUUCUUUUUUCUUAACUUGACCUAACUUGCAUGAAUAUUAACAUAAACUUAUCAACACAAACACUCCCUACGUGAGGCUUCUCUAAAACAUUUCCAGUCAUUGGACAAAUAAAACCUUUAAUAAAUAUGGAAAUUCUAUUUAUGCCAUUAGUACUUUAACAGUUUCAGUUUAUUUUGUAUUGUUUGUUAUGGUUAUGGAAGCAACAUGGUCAGAUUUGCUCUUCUAAAAAUUUCAGUCUGGCUGCUGUGUGCAACAGGGAACCAAGUAGGAGGCUAUUACACUGUCAAGGGAGAAAUCAAAGGUAAGGUAGUAACAAUGACAAUGAAAGGGAUAUGGGCAGUUUGAAGUAUAUUUUGAAUAUAGAGUCAGUAGGACCUGCUAACAGAUGGGAUCAAAAGGAGAAGGAAAAUCAAAGAUUCCUGAGUUUCUGGCUUAAGCAACUGGGUGGAUGGGGAAGCUUUUUACAGAGGUGGAAAGGCUAAAGGAGGGAUUUGGGGGGAGUAGGGGCUAGGGGAGAAAGGUGGAUGUAGUCAUAGGAAGGUGUGAGAUCCCUGAGGCAAAGAGAAAAGUGACUUGUUCAUUUGUUUGGAAGGAUGAUGGAGAAGAGAAAUGAGGAAUUAGGAGGGGCUGGUGACUGUCAGUGUAGGGAUUUCAGCAAAAUGAGGGCCUGCAAGGAUAUGCUGAGCACUAUGAAAGCAGGGAGGGACCACUCAGGCUUUGAACACAGUUGAAUCCCCAGGAACUGGCACAGUGCCUGGCAAAUGUAAAUGCUCUUCAAUUACUUCUAAAAUGAAUAAAUGAUAGAGUGGGAGGUAAGGAGGCAUUGGAAUGAGUGUUGAAGAUAGUAAAUUUGGCACUGAAGAGAAGUAACAUGCUAACUGGCAGAGAUAGCAAAUGUUAAUUUUCUAAUGUUAAAUUUAAUGGAUAAGGGAGACUUGUAUAAAGAAAAGAAUGUUUGCUUGUCAUUCCAGUUCUGCAAGGAUCAAGCCAUUAACCACCGCUGUUGCCCGCCUACUGACAGACAGUGCCAUGAGGAAAUUCAGGAUGAAGAAACCAGCAAGCAUCUGUGCUUUGGCUAUACCAUCCCCUAGUGAAGAUGCGUAAUCUAAGGAAAACUUCAAAUGACUCCAAAUUCUUAUAUUUUUUCAAUAAAAUCAUUAAUUUAAGAUAUCUGUUCUCAGAGUUCUCUUCAUGGCCCAGCGGAAACGAAUUCGACUAGGAACCAUGAGGUUGCAGGUUCGAUCCCUGGCCUCACUCAGUGGGUUAAGGAUCCUGCAUUGCUAUGGUUGUGGCAUAGGGUGGCAGCUGUAGCUCUGAUUAGACCCCUAGCCUGGGGACCUCCGUAUGCCACAGGUGCGGCCCUAAAAAGACAAAAAGACCAAAAACAAAAAGGUAUCUGUUCUCUGUGAUUAGCAGAGGUUCAUGUACAUGUUUUUUCCUGGAAAAAAAAAAUCAUAUCUACCUUGGGUCCUCCCUUACCUCUUUGAACAAUUCUUCAGAGCUCUCUGAGACUCUAUCUCCCAGGCUAUAGCCCUCAGUAAGGUCCCUGAAUAAAACUUAACUUGAAACUCUUGGGUUGUAAAAUUUUUCUUUCAGUGAACAGUUCAAUGUAGUCAUAAGAAAGAUAAUUCUAGGAGUUCCCGUCGUGGUGUAGUGGUUAACGAAUCCGACUAGGAACCAUGAAGUUGUGAGUUCGAUCCCUGGCCUCGCUCAGUGUGUUAAGGAUCUAGCAUUGCUGCGAGCUGUGGUGUAGUUCACAAACAUGGCUCAGAUCCUGUGUUGCUGUGGCUCUGGCAUAGGCUGGCAGCUACAGCUCCUAUUAGACUCCUAUCCUGGGGACAUCCAUAUGCCAGAGGUGCGGCCCUAGAAAGGGCAAAAAGACCGAAGAAAGAAAGAAAGACAAUUCUAGAGAAGACAGCUGGUCCAUGAAAGGAUAAGGCUCUUCCACAGGGGCCAGGAAGCUAACAUAUAUUAUUCAUCUAUAAUGUAUCAGGAAGUGGGCUAGCACUUUAUAUCUGUUCUCUCACUCAGUCAUCACAAUAGGGGACAGUUGCUAGAUAAAAUACGGGACACCCAGUUGAAUAUCAAUCUCAGAUAACAAAAAAAGUUGUAUGUUUUAUGCAAUAAUUUCAGCAUAAGUAUGACACAUGCAAUAUUUGGGACAUACCUAUAUAUAUAUUUUUUAAAUAGUCAAUGUUUACCCAAAGUUCAAAUUUAACCAGAUCUCCCAUAUUUUUGUGUUGAAUCUGGGAACCCUACCUUGAGGUGGAUUAUAUAAUUGCCAUUAUAUCUGAAGGAAACUAAGGAUCUGAAGGAUCAAAUAACUGCCCACAUUCACAAAGUUGUUAGUAAGUGGUAAAGUCAGAAUUGGAUACCAGUCUGUCUGACUUCAGAGCCUGUGCUUCUCCCGUUUGCUGUGAUAUAGAGGAUAGGAGUUGAGUUCCUGGCAAGGACUUAGCUCAGGUGUGAGCCUCUGUGACUGGUCUCCCAUUAAUUUGGAGAGAAAGCCUGACUGGGCAGAGCCACAGCCCUGCUCAAGUGGCCAGAUUUUAUCAAGUUGUUAUGUUUGAGUGAGAACAGCUUUCACUCUUCUGAAAAGGAAGACAUCUUUUUUUUUUUUUUUUUAAUGUAGAAAUGCACUUAGUAUUACAAUCAAUGGGGGGAACUCUGCUUAUAAUUUUGGAGUAGGAUAUGGGUUAGAUAAGCUUAAUAAAACUUCCAAGAGGUGAUCCAGGCUAGGACUUAAGAGCUCAGACUCUCCUGUCAAAAGGACUGGGGUUUGAAUCUUGGCUCCACCAUAUAUUUGAUAUUGGGGAAAUUACUUCACCUUUCCUGUUUUGUGUUCUCAAAAAAGGGGGUGAUGGUAACUGUAAUGAGAAUACCUUUCCUACAGAGUAGGUGUGAGGACUAAAUGUGGUCAUAGAAGCAAUAAAUUGCUAACACAAGUGUAGCUCUCAUCUUCAUCACCACCAUCACCAGCAGCAUGAUUUUUAUUCCUGAGUGUGCUUCAGUUGGUAAAUAAUGGUGGCUCUACAUUUUAUAAGCUUGGGAGUAAAGUUAGGUGAGAAUUUUAUUGUUUGACUUUGAGAGCUGCUCAU